rnacentral:lncRNA from 1 species
UGGACCGCUAGAGAGGAGUUCCUCUGGCAACAAAUACAUCUUGGUCAUUUGUGACUAUGCAACUCGCUAUCCUGAAGCCUUUCCCCUUAAGACAGUAAAAGCUAGGAAUGUGGCAAAUUGUCUGGUACAACUGUUCUCUAGGGUAGGCAUUCCCAAGGAGGUUCUGACAGACUGUGGCACAAACUUUACAUCCAAGUUGUUACAGCAGGUGUAUCAGUUACUAGGAGUGAAGGGUAUUAAGACCACCCCUUAUCACCCCCAAACGGACGGGCUUGUUGAGAGAUAUAAUCAGACUCUGAAAAACAUGCUUCGCAAGUUUGUUUCCAGCACAGGAGGUGACUGGGACCAGUGGCUGCCGUACCUGCUCUUCGCCUACCGGGAAGUGCCACAGGCUUCAACAGGAUUCUCACCGUUUGAACUGUUAUAUGGACGACAGGUGAGAGGACCACUAGAUCUGCUAAGAGACUACUGGGAGAGUCCGGCAUCAACCAGAGAAAAUGUUGUGUCAUAUGUGGUCAAGAUGAGAGAGAGAUUGGAGGGAAUGUCAGCAUUGGCUCAGGAGACUAUGAAGGUGGCCCAGCAGAACCAGAAGAAGUGGUAUGAUCAAAAAGCAAGAGAAAGGGGGUUUGAACCAGGUCAAAAGGUGCUGUUGCUGCUCCCUACCUCUGACAGCAAGUUGCUGACAAAAUGGCAUGGACCUUAUGAGAUCACUCGACGGGUCAGUAAGGUCACUUAUGAACUGUAUAUGCCAGAGAGAGUCAAGAAACGUCAAAUAUUUCAUGUGAAUUUGUUGAAGGAAUUCCUGGUUCAACAGGAACCAGUGCACCCUCACCUGUUUAUUUGUUCAGUUCAGGAUGAGGAGGUGGACGAGAAGUUCUUUCCUGUGAGCAGAGGGGAGGCCAGCCCUUUGGAUCUGUCUCAUUUGUCAGUUUCUCAGCAGGAGGAUGUGCGCCCUCUUCUGGACCGAGAACUUUUUAAAGAGACACCAGGUUUUACCAACCUGGUCCAGCACACAAUCAGGC